rnacentral:rRNA from 1 species
UACGGGGGGGGCAAGCGUUGUUCGGAAUUACUGGGCGUAAAGGGCUCGUAGGUGGCCAACUAAGUCAUACGUGAAAUCCCUCGGCUUAACCGGGGAACUGCGUCUGAUACUGGAUGGCUGGAGUGUGGGAGAGGGAUGCGGAAUUCCAGGUGUAGCGGUGAAAUGCGUAGAUAUCUGGAGGAACACCGGUGGCGAAGGCGGCAUCCUGGACCAUUACUGACACUGAAAAGCGAAAGCCAGGGGAGCAAACGGG